GAUGACCACAGCAAGAAGAACAGACAGAAAUCCGUAAGGAUAAUUCAUCUAAGCUAAUUAUAGUUAAAGCAUUACUGACUUAUAAAAACUCAGGAUUAUGCUCUCAAAAGCAAUAAUUGAAACUGUGAAAUCCCGUACUGAGCUGCACCUCUUUUAUUGACUACUAUUUUCUUACCACAUUUGGUGACACAGCAUACGUGCUCCCAAUCACAUUCAAUGAUUCUUAAUCAGUUCUCCUACCACUCUCCUCCACACACUGACAUAUGCAUCAAUUAUUCAUGGCUAUUAUCCUUUAUUGGCAAAACCUGAUUCAGACAAGAAGCAGCACAUAGUUUUUUCUAUGUGGAAAAAAUAAACUA
rnacentral:lncRNA from 1 species